ACCACACUGAGUGAUGAGUAAUGAUAAUGGUAAGCAAAAAUAAGAAAAAUGAAUUCCCUGCCAUCAGGGCCCAGGUAUGUUGGUAAUGGAAAGACAAAAAUUAAUGCAAAAUUAUAACUAUAUAAGUGCCUUAAUGGUGAGGCAUGUGGAAAUCAGAGAGAGAACUGACUGGGUCAGGAAGGUUCAAAUAGAAUCCCUGAAGGAAGGAAAGAUGAGAAUGGCCAAACGAAGUCUCUGCAUUAAGACUCCACACUCCUGGCUGGAAGUGUGUGGGUUAGGCAGCCCAAGCUGCCGUAACACGGAGGCUCACAGCCACAGAAGUCAAGGGAGGACACUGUUUCCAUCUCAGUCAAGAGCAAGGCUGGAACUUUGUCCCGUGGCCCACAGGAACUGAGAUCCGGGAUCCAAGCUCCACCCUUACUCCUUUGCAGAGAUCUGGAACUAUGGAGAUUGGCUAAUUGAUCUUCUUGACAAGGGUUAAGAAACAACAUCACGACUGCCAACAAUAAUUGAGGAGUUCGCUAGUCCCUGCAGGGAAAGGCAAGAUCCUGCCCCCAAGAAAGUGAUCUGUAUAGUUACAUGGAAACAGAUGCAUGUCCACCCCAAUCCAUCGCAGCGCGGUGAGGAAGUUCAGGUACAGGCCUGGGGGUCAAGAUGGCCGGCGUUUGAAUUGUCAUGACACUUACUGGCUAUGUAGCACUGGGCAAGUGCUUAUUCUGCCUGAGCCUCAGUUUUCUCUUCUA